UACGUAGGGUGCGAGCGUUAAUCGGAAUUACUGGGCGUAAAGCGUGCGCAGGCGGUUUUUUAAGUCAGAUGUGAAAUCCCCGGGCUUAACCUGGGAAUGGCAUUUGGGACUGCAAGGCUCGAGUGCGGCAGAGGAGACUGGAAUUCCUGGUGUAGCAGUGAAAUGCGUAGAUAUCAGGAGGAACACCGAUGGCGAAGGCAGGUCUCUGGGCUGACACUGACGCUCAUGCACGAAAGCGUGGGGAGCAAACAGG
rnacentral:rRNA from 1 species